rnacentral:rRNA from 1 species
GGGGUGCAGCAGGCGCGAAAACUUUACAAUGCGGGAAACCGUGAUAAGGGGACACCGAGUGCCAGCAUCAUAUGCUGGCUGUCCAGGUGUGUAAAAUACACCUGUUAGCAAGGGCCGGGCAAGACCGGUGCCAGCCGCCGCGGUAACACCGGCGGCCCGAGUGGUGAUCGUGAUUAUUGGGUCUAAAGGGUCCGUAGCCGGUUUGGUCAGUCCUCCGGGAAAUCUGAUAGCUCAACUAUUAGGCUUUCGGGGGAUACUGCCAGACUUGGAACCGGGAGAGGUAAGAGGUACUACAGGGGUAGGAGUGAAAUCUUGUAAUCCCUGUGGGACCACCUGUGGCGAAGGCGUCUUACCAGAACGGGUUCGACGGUGAGGGACGAAAGCUGGGGGCACGAACCGGAUUAGAUACCCGGGUAGUCCCAGCCGUAAACGAUGCUCGCUAGGUGUCAGACAUGGCGCGACCGUGUCUGGUGCCGCAGGGAAGCCGUGAAGCGAGCCACCUGGGAAGUACGGCCGCAAGGCUGAAACUUAAAGGAAUUGGCGGGGGAGCACAAGGGCGAAUCGC